ensembl:snRNA U6 U6 spliceosomal RNA
GUGCUGCUUUGGAAGCACAUAUACUAAAAUUGGAAUGAUACAAAGAUUAGCAUGGCCCUUGUGCAAGGAUGACACACAAAUCUGAUAAGCCUUUCAUAAUGAA